rnacentral:rRNA from 1 species
UACAGAGGUGGCAAGCGUUGCUCGGUAUCACUGGGCUUAAAGGGCGCGUAGGCGGUGCGGUACGGUUUCGGUGAAAUCCCUCGGCCCAACCGAGGAACAGCCGGAGCUACGGCCGGACUAGACGGCAUCAGGGGACAGUGGAACUCCCGGUGGAGCGGUGAAAUGCGUAGAUAUCGGGAGGAACGCCGGUGGCGAAAGCGACUGUCUGGGGUGCCUGUGACGCUGAGGCGCGAAAGCCAGGGGGAUCAAACGGG